rnacentral:tRNA from 1 species
GGGGCCUUAGCUCAGUCGGGAGAGCGUGCGCUUUGCAAGUGCGAGGUCGCGGGUUCGAGGCCCGCAGGCUCCA